rnacentral:rRNA from 1 species
UACGGAGGAUCCAAGCGUUAUCCGGAUUUAUUGGGUUUAAAGGGUGCGUAGGCGGCCUGUUAAGUCAGGGGUGAAAGACGGUAGCUCAACUAUCGCAGUGCCCUUGAUACUGAUGGGCUUGAAUGGACUAGAGGUAGGCGGAAUGUGACAAGUAGCGGUGAAAUGCAUAGAUAUGUCACAGAACACCGAUUGCGAAGGCAGCUUACUAUGGUCUUAUUGACGCUGAGGCACGAAAGCGUGGGGAUCAAACAGGAUUAGAACC